rnacentral:misc_RNA from 1 species
UACGUAGGUGGCAAGCGUUGUCCGGAAUUAUUGGGCGUAAAGCUCGCGCAGGCGGUCCUUUAAGUCUGAUGUGAAAGCCCACGGCUCAACCGUAGAGGGUCAUAGGAAACUGGGGGACUUGAGUACAGAAGAGGAAAGUGGAAUUCCACGUGUAGCGGUGAAAUGCGUAGAGAUGUGGAGGAACACCAGGGGCGAAGGCGACUUUCUGGUCUGUAACUGACGCUGAGGCGCGAAAGCGUGGGGAGCAAACGGG